AUUAGCACGAGCAUAUAAGAAGCCACUCUCUCCCUCUCCAAUCAAUCAGGUCAAGCAAUAGCAUUAUCCACAUGCAUGCUUAGAGGACUGUGAAGCAUACAUGAUUGACUGAAGCAUUGAAGCUCAUAUCACCCUUGCCACAUUUUUUUACCACAAAUUAUCAUAGUUGACUUCUGGUCUGCAAUGUAUUGCUUCAACAUUGCACCAUUCAACUCUUACCAACAUAUUAUGCAACUUCAGGGAUAGCCGGUAGUCACAACUUUUGCACCCAAAACACAAAUACCUCAAAUUUGAAAACCCAUGUUCCCAAAUUACAUUGACACAUUAGUCUAAGGAAAGAAGGUCAAUGGUAGCUCCAGGCAUAAACAAGAACCAGGAAAAAGAGAAUCCUUUGACUUGAUUGACAUGAAGUUGUAGUAUAAGUUA